rnacentral:rRNA from 1 species
GACCAGACUCCUACGGGAGGCAGCAGUGGGGGAUAUUGCACAAUGGGGGAAACCCUGAUGCAGCGACGCCGCGUGAGCGAUGAAGUAUUUCGGUAUGUAAAGCUCUAUCAGCAGGGAAGAAGAUGACGGUACCUGACUAAGAAGCCCCGGCUAACUACGUGCCAGCAGCCGCGGUAAUACGUAGGGGGCAAGCGUUAUCCGGAUUUACUGGGUGUAAAGGGAGCGUAGACGGCGAUGCAAGCCAGAUGUGAAAGCCCGGGGCCCAACCCCGGAACUGCUUUGGAAACUGUGCAGCUAGAGUGCGGGAGAGGUAAGCGGAAUUCCUAGUGUAGCGGUGAAAUGCGUAGAUAUUAGGAGGAACACCAGUGGCGAAGGCGGCUUACUGGACCGUAACUGACGUUGAGGCUCGAAAGCGUGGGGAGCAAACAGGAUUAGAUACCCUCGUAAA